ensembl:lncRNA
AGAAACUGCUCUUUGUAAAUAAUUGUAAUCUGUUCUGGGAGUGUCCUAGGCUUUUUCGCACUGAUGGCCUGCACCCCAGCAGAGUCGGAGUGGAACUCCUGUCGGACAAGAUCUCCAGGAUUCUACGCUCCAUAUGACUAGUCAACGUAGCCACCAAAUCCAGUCUGUAUCCAGAUCAGAUGGUCACUGCAGUCACCUGGAUCCAGUACGUAUCCAGACCAGAUGGUGGAUCAGCACCUAGAAAGGACCACUACAGCCCUGAAAGACAGAGGACACCAGGACAACUAGAUGGGCCCUAAAUACAGAUCCCCUGUAAAGACCUAGUCUCAGACGACCACCGGGACAAGACCACAGGAACCAGUUGAGUACUCUGCACAAUGUGACUUUGCUGCAGCCUGGAGUUGAACUGCUGGUUUCAUCUGGCCAGAGGAGAACUGGCUCCCCGACUGAGCCUGGUUUCUCCCAAGGUUUUUUCUCCUUUCUGUCACAGAUGUAGUUUUGCUUCCUUGCCGCUGUCGCCUCUGGCUUGCUUAGUUGGGGACACUUCAUUUCAAGCGAUAUCAUUGACUUGAUUGCAAAUGAUUGUAAAUAUAUUAUUUAAACUGAACUUAGCUGGAUGAUGACAUCACUGAACUCAAUGAUGAACUGCAU